UACGAAGGGGGGCUAGCGUUGCUCGGAAUCACUGGGCGUAAAGGGUGCGUAGGCGGGUCUUUAAGUCAGGGGUGAAAUCCUGGAGCUCAACUCCAGAACUGCCUUUGAUACUGAAGAUCUUGAGUUCGGGAGAGGUGAGUGGAACUGCGAGUGUAGAGGUGAAAUUCGUAGAUAUUCGCAAGAACACCAGUGGCGAAGGCGGCUCACUGGCCCGAUACUGACGCUGAGGUGCGAAAGCGUGGGGAGCAAACAGG
rnacentral:rRNA from 1 species